rnacentral:tRNA from 1 species
CCUUGUCGCUCAGAGGUUAAAGCAUCUGCCUGCAAUGCAGGAGACCUGGGUUUGAACCCUGGGUAAGGA